rnacentral:rRNA from 1 species
CCCUUAGAUGUUCUGGGCCGCACGCGCGCUACACUGACGGAGGCAGCGAGCAUGUCCUUCGCCGAGAGGUGUGGGGAAUCUUGUGAGUCUCCGUCGUGCUGGGGAUAGAUGGUUGCAAUUGUCGAUCUUGAACGAGGAAUUCCUAGUAAGCGCGAGUCAUCAGCUCGCGCUGAUUACGUCCCUGCCCUUUGUACACACCGCCCGUCGCUACUACCGAUUGAAUCGUUUAGCGAGAAUUUUGGAUCGGAGCCCUGGUGGGCAGCGAUGUCCGCCUGGGAUUUACCGAGAAAUCAUUCCAGCUAGCCGAUUUAGAGGAAGUAAAAGUCGUAACA